ensembl:lncRNA
GCCACUUAGUAACCAGCCACCCUUCUUCCGUCGUCAGCGCAGCAAGUCGAGCCAGUUUCUUCCCCUGCCCCUCCUCUGCCACGGCAGGGCAGGCGGCUGCAACCUGUCCGUGUCAGCAUGCAGGGCGUCAGAUCUGCAUCUGCACUGGGAGAGGAGAAUUGCCCACGUGUGUGUAUCGGAGCCAUCAGCAGGCGCUCCCAGAUCCCGAAAGCAGCAGUGGAGGAGAUGGUGAUGGAGGCAAUGCAGCCUCUGCCCCUCGCAGCCCGGGGCUGUGCUCCAGCAUCACAUAGCCCAGCUCUGAGCACACCUGGACUGGCAUCCCAGUGCACGUCCCCGGUGCUUUCCAGCUGUGCGGCACAUCUGUCUGCACGUGGCACUGUGUUGGGCUCCCACAGCAUGCCCAGCCACUGCAAAUCCCCAACACCGCCUGUCCCCGACCCCAGGCAGCCCUCAGCUUCACCAGAGCACGGUUUGAAGAAGCCCAUCGUCGUGCCCUAUGCCUGCCCCACGCGGGGGGUCAGCAAUGCCCUGUGGGAGGCUGCCUGGUGGGGGAGGGCUGAAGCUGUCCCAGGGAUGUGGUGUGGGUGUGAGGGUGUGUGUGCCCAGAGGAUGGGGCACGGGGAUGGAGCACGGAGUGGACGCAGUGCCCUGAGCAGAGCAGGGUGCUCUGAGAGGGACGCUCGGGGGCUGCAGCGUGGGGAAGCAGUGAGGCAGGAUGGGGUGACAAGAAGGCAAAACUGUUUUGCAUCUGACCCACGUGGAGCAGAGCCUGGACUCAGCCUGGAGCCACUCCAGCUCCACGAGCAGCCUGUCCUGCAGCGUCGUCCAGGGCUGUUUCCAGGGAGCACUUGGCUGUGGGACAGGACGGCACUGAGACCAUUGCUGCGUGUUUCCCCUCGCUGCAGGGCGCACACCGGGCUCUCUCCCUUUGCUCUCCCCGUGGUUUCUGCCCAGGUGUGCAGGUCCACCUCGCAGAGCCUUCGGGAAGGAUUAAGGAGUCUGUUCCGCUGUGUGAUUUCUGGAUGACAACUUCCAGCUGCUCUCUUAUUGAUAGGGAUGGUGUUUAGCAGCCUGGAGUGUUAAGGGAUGCCCUGAGCUGUGGCUGUCACCUCCGGGCUGUCUGAGACAUUGACCGACAUUGACCCAGCUGGCCAUCAUUCAAGGCAGAAUGGGGAGCCCAGGGUGCUGCCAGGCACAGCCUGAACGCCAGCACGAAAUCUGGGUGUUGGGAACGGAUGCGGAGCUCACGGCCCUUUUCCCUCCUGCCUCAUCCUGCCAGCCCCAGCAGCUCUGUCAGCACAGACGUGCCGUGAUGAUGCCCUGAGCCCGGGGCUGACCCAUCCAUCAGGCUGCCAGGCCAGGGGAUGCCCCCAACCCACCACUGUGCCAUUCCAGCAAGCCAGCACGGGGACAGCAGGGACACAACUCCUUCCCAAACCGGCCUGGGCAGCUCUGGGAGUCCCCACGCCAUGUGUCACCCCUCGGGAAGACACUCAUUGUCCCAUCACAGGAGACGGGCUGGAACAAAAAGGAAGUAAGGAGAAGCCGGGCUCUUUGUGAUACCCAUCUGCUCCUGUCCAGCAGACGUGGCUCCAGGAGGCUGCGGUGCCGUUGCCGUGUGCCAUUGCCGUGUGCCGGUGCCAUGUGCCAAUGCCAUGUGCCGCAGCCACGUGUCGGCCGGCGUGCGCAGCGCUGCGGCACCAAACGUGCUGCAGUACGGACGGGUGAGAUAAGGAGCUGUGUGCGCUCACCCCGUGCUGCAGCACGUCCCGCUGCGCCCAGCCUGGGGGUGAUCGGCCCCUCCUGCAUCCAGGGCUUGGGACGCAUCAGCCCAUGGGCUGCGUCGCUGUGGGAUAUUCAUGCAGGUUCUGCUCCGCGCCCUGAGGAAGAGCUUUGCAAACCCCGAAACGCUGCUCUCAGUGGGCACCAGGAAAACCCCAAACCUGGAAAGCAGCAGCGAUAAGGGGCUGAAUGGGCGGGGAAGGAGUGGCCGCGGCAGUGCAGUGUUUGCUCUGGGCUCACCGGCCCCGGCUGGAGCAGAGUCUGCCAGCAGGUAAUAAAUCCAGCUGGCCGUGCCCCGUUCUUCGAGUGUUUCAAGAUUACUGCAACCUUUGUGUCCCGGCUGCUUUCUCCCAGCACGGGCUGUGGGUGCAGUGCAGGAGAUGAGGGCCAUUCAGCGUUAUUUCUGUGCGUGGCUCCAGGGUUAUCGGGAGAGCCUCGGAGAGAGGAGAUGGAGCAUUUAAAACAGCUUUGCUUUAAUAAUGCAAUUAUGAGGCUCAGCAGACGAUUGCUGGAAAGCACAACCUCCAUCAUGAGCACUGUGCUCAUCGCACCGCGCCAACGGACCCCGUGAUGCCGUUAAUAGGAAGAAGGGGCUGUGUGCACUGAGCCCCAUUUCAGCCCCCAACCUCAGGCGUAGCCUUUGGGCUUCACGGUGCCCAUCAGAUGGAGGGGGCAGAACUGCCCCAAAGCUCAGCAGGGAUCGUUCCAUCCACCGCCCCGCGCUGCAGAUCAAACCCCCGCUGACCCGCAGGGCUGACAAAGGGACAAUGGUCUCCGGGCUUUGUUUAAUGUCCCCGGGGCUGGCAAAGGACGUUCCCGGCUGCUCACCUCCCUUUGUUCCCGUGUUGACCAUGGUAGCACCGAGCUGUGGUGCCCCGGGGUUCGUGCCCACGGCUCCGUAUCCACACAGCCUGGCUUUGCUGGUGGGAUAAAAGCUGCUGAUG